rnacentral:lncRNA from 1 species
UGGCUCACCUUCCCCCAGCACACGAUGGGGCUGCAGCCUCCCCGGUCAGCCUGGCCUGCUGGAAAGGAGCAGCUCUGUCUCCAGAGGCUUCUGGCGAAGCCCAUGGCCUCCCAAUGUUGGCUGAUUUAUAAGGAAAGAGGGGAAAGGCCAAGUGUGGAUGCCAUUAGCAUAACCUAAUCCAGACCCCAUGACAAGUCCAGGAUCCUGCAGGGAGAGGGCAUCCUUGAACGUGAAGGACUGGGUUUGGAAACUUGGCCUCCCGGAAGAAAGGUCUCCGGGCCCACCCACACCCCCCUUGUGGACGCCCCCGCAGUCUAAUACACUCCACAGUAAGACGGACCAGGAACAGCAGCAGCCUCCGGUGUCGGCCCAGUGAUCCGGGAGCUCAGAGUUUUUGCUAAAAUAGCCUUCUCAUUGGCUGCGGCUUUGGAGGUGGCAGAAAUCAUACGUUUAAUCACGGCGCCCUCCUGCUUGCCAAGCUUUGCGUCCUCCAGAAUUGUCCUGUGAGUGACUCCCGCAGGAUGGAGACUUUUGUGUCUGGCUUCCUUCACUUCGCAGCAGGCUUCGCGGGACCCGUGUGGUGGCACCAGCGUCCAGCCCUUGGUACUGCUGAGUUGUAGGUUGUGGGACAGGUGGAGGUACCACAGUUGCUCACGGGUUCACCUGUGGAUGGGCAUGUGGGCUGUUGUGAGUGAAGCCACUUCAGACGUUUGCGUGCAGGUUUGGUGGGGACGUGCAGUUUCAUUUCUUUUGAGAGUGGGAUUGCUGGAGCCUAUGUUAAGGGUACGUUCAACUCAUCAGCUCAACUGUCUUCCAAAUGGCAGCCCCGUUUUCCACCCCCGCCAGCAACGCCCGCGACUCCAGGCGCGCUGCAUUUUCAUCAGCACCUGGCAGUGGUGAUUCAUAAUGCUUUAAAUGUUAAUUUCCCUCAUGACUAGUGAUGUUAAACAUCUUAUUAAACAUCUUAGGUAUUA